rnacentral:lncRNA from 1 species
ACAGCAAAAAGCUCCCUGUCGUGAAAAUAAGUGAGAUGUGGGAAGCAUUUAUAGGAAGAAUGACAUUUUCUCCACCAUCACCUGGGCUUGUGAAUGGCUUUAUCAGAGCUUCCUGGCAACAACAUUAAUUAUGAAGUGUCAAGGUUGGUGCUUACAGAGGGUGACCUCGACUGGAGCCAGGCCCCCCACUGAGCCUGUGAUGAGCACCCAGGAGCAGGUUGAAUGAGGGAUCAAUGACUUGCAGGGUUCCAGGCAGAAUAAGGAACAGAAGUGGGCCAACUGCAAGCAAAAAUCAGCUGCAGACAUGAGGGUUCUGAGGGGAGCCAUGUUUGCCCUGGAAAUGCUAUGAAGAACAAAGUCAACAUUGUCUCUGGCUUGAUGACGCUUCGAGUUUGUGAGAUGAGGCACAUGUGAAGUGUGUCAUUGCACAGAUACGUGUCAUAUUGAAACGUGCUGAGU